rfam:Jatropha curcas cultivar GZQX0401 scaffold1127_1, whole genome shotgun sequence.
AAGCUAUGAUGUGGGCACUUCCUCAAUAGGUCCUUGAAUCUCCCCCAAGCUUCAUGCAAACUCUCUUGAUCAUGGUGGGCGAAGGUCAUUAUCUCAUUGCGAAGCUU